AAGACCUUGCACUUUUGGAGCGGCCGAUGUCUGAUUAGCUAGUUGGUGGGGUAAUGGCCUACCAAAGCUUCGAUCAGUAGCUGGUCUGAGAGGACGGCCAGCCACACUGGGACUGAGACACGGCCCAGACUCCUACGGGAGGCAGCAGUGGGGAAUUUUGGACAAUGGGCGCAAGCCUGAUCCAGCCAUGCCGCGUGAGUGAAGAUGGCCUUCGGGUUGUAAAGCUCUUUCAGCCGGGAAGAAAAGGUUGCGACUAAUAAUCGCAAUUCAUGACGGUACCGAAAGAAGAAGCACCGGCUAACUACGUGCCAGCAGCCGCGGUAAUACGUAGGGUGCGAGCGUUAAUCGGAAUUACUGGGCGUAAAGGGUGCGCAGGCGGUUUUGUAAGUCAGAUGUGAAAUCCCCGGGCUUAACCUGGGAACU
rnacentral:rRNA from 1 species